rnacentral:lncRNA from 1 species
UGUUCUUGCUGGUGUGGUAUGUUCACGGCUGAAAAGGUGGUCAGAAGGAGAAAGGAGGAAGUGAGAAGAAAGAAACAGGGAAAUGAGUGUUGCUCAGUUACCCAGGCUGGAGUGCAAUGGCAUGAUCUUGGCUCACUGCAGCCUCCACCUCCUGGGUUCAAGCGGUUCUCGUGCCUCAGUCUCCCAAGUAGCUGGGAUUACAGGCUGGAGUGCGAUGGCAUGAUCUUGGCUCACGGCAAACUCCGCCUCCCUGGUUCAAGUGAUUCUCCUGCCUCAGCCUCCCGAGUAGCUGGGAUUACAGGCAUGUGCCACCAUGCCCCGUUGGCCAGGCUGGUCUCGAACACCUUACCUCAGGUGAUCCUCCCACCUUUGGGAUUACAGACCCUGCAUGUGAUGGAUCAGCUGACACCAUCCAGAUUGGUAAACUGGUUCGUCUGAUCUUGUGCCCUCCACCCAGGAACUGACUCAGCGCAAGAAGACAGCUUCGACUCCUUAUGAUUUCAUCCCUAACCAAUCAGCACUCCUGGCUCACUGGCUUCCCCCAACCCACCAAAUUGUCCUUAAAAACUCUGUUCUCCAAAUGCUGGGGGAGACUGAUUUGAGUAAUAAUAAAACUCUGGUCUCC